UACGGGGGGGGCAAGCGUUGUUCGGAAUUAUUGGGCGUAAAGAGCUCGUAGGCGGUUUGUCGCGUCGAAUGUGAAAACCCGGGGCUCAACUCCGGGCCUGCAUUCGAUACGGGCAGACUAGAGUUCGGUAGGGGAGUCUGGAAUUCCUGGUGUAGCGGUGAAAUGCGCAGAUAUCAGGAGGAACACCGGUGGCGAAGGCGGGACUCUGGGCCGAUACUGACGCUGAGGAGCGAAAGCGUGGGGAGCGAACAGG
rnacentral:rRNA from 1 species